UACGGGGGGGGGCAAGCGUUGUUCGGAAUUACUGGGCGUAAAGGGCUCGUAGGCGGCCAACUAAGUCAGACGUGAAAUCCCCAGGCUCAACCUGGGAACUGCGUCUGAUACUGGAUGGCUUGAAUCCGGGAGAGGGAUGCAGAAUUCCAGGUGUAGCGGUGAAAUGCGUAGAUAUCUGGAGGAAUACCGGUGGCGAAGGCGGCAUCCUGGACCGGCAUUGACGCUGAGGAGCGAAAGCUAGGGGAGCAUACGGG
rnacentral:rRNA from 1 species